UAGGUAACCUGCCUCUAAGAUCGGGAUAACCUGUCGAAAAACGAGCUAAUACCAAAUGAGACCACAGCUUCUUCGGAAGCAAGGGUCAAAGGUAGCCUCUACUUGUAAGCUAUCACUUAGAGAUGGGCCUGCGUACCAUUAGCUAGUUGGUGGGGUAACGGCCCACCAAGGCAAAGAUGGUUAGCUGGUCUGAGAGGAUGAUCAGCCACACUGGAACUGAGACACGGU
rnacentral:rRNA from 1 species